CAGCUGACCACUUGGUGUAGACAACAGGAAGGGUUUCAAAGUAUAUUUGUUUUAAAGUUGAUGUUCACUGCUUUGGAAAAGCCAAAAUAUUAGCAGUUAAAUUUUAUCAAGAAAUGCUUCUAUCUCUCCUCUGAUUUUGUAGACCAUUGUACAUGGAACUUCCCUACUCAACCAUAGGUCAGCUAAAAACAGAAAUUGAAACAUACAGCUGGACAAGAUGACAUAACUGAUUCAAAAACUACAAGGUAUGAUAUGAUAUAUUAUGAUAUGAUUAUGUGAUAUGAUAUAUGAUCAUUUAGCCUGAUGUUUUUCCCCACAGAUAUGUAAGAAGUGACUCCUGCAUCAAAUCUAUAACAUCUCUGUGAGCUACAUCUUAUCCCUGAGAAAAACAACCACUAUUGAUUUGAAGAGAUCGGGUAAUUGAAGAGCUAUCAUAUUCCAAGCAGGACCAGUUCUAUCCUCCAGCCUAGAAGCCAUGAAAGGAGGUUGUGAACCUCAGAAAACAAGACCUCCUGGACUGCUUAUGGACUUGUGGCACCCCCUGCCUUGAUAGAGGAUUAUGUCAAGACAUAUGGGUACACACCCUUAAUUCAUGGCUUCCUUGGGGUCUCUACCACUUGUCUGAAGCAUGUUGUAGUCCCUUGACGGUCAUGAAGCACAAGAAUCUGGAGCAAGACACUGUUUGGAAGAACAAUCUGAAAGGUAAUAGCCAUAUUCAGCUCACAGAUGUUUUGCUUCCAUUCAGGAGUACACAGAAACUGUAUAGAAAACUAACUGUCUUUUAAACUCUUCUCCUGGUAAAGCACAGUCCAACGCCAAACCCAGGCAAUCUCUGAGUACUUCGUGUCCUGGGCCUUGGCCUUGGCCAAUGGCCACGCUGGGCAUUUAAUAGUAUGCACAUCCCCACACUAGUGCUCAGGCAUCUACCCUAGCCUUAUAUAAUUUUCUAAUAUAAACUAUAAACUACAGUAGUAUACCUGUAUGGAUACAACCACUGAAAUCAUGCAACUUCUCAAAUGUGAUGGUGGGUACACAAAUGUUUGUGACAGAAAUUACAGAAAUUACAGGCUACACAAGCAGCUGGAAGAACUCCACAUACUGCUGGAGAGUUGAAUCUAAGCAAUUAAUUAUGUUUCAUUUCUAUGUUUGAUAGUGGUGAGGUCUGUUUCCAGGGAAAAAGAAAGUAUUUUUCUGAAUAUUUAAUGUUUUUAAUGCAUUCUUUCAGUUCUGUAAUUAAUUGUAUGUCCCUGUUUUUACUUAUGUGUAACUAAAAAAAAAUUAAAAAGAUGAAUUUCUGAAUAACCAUGCAGAAGCUGCUGGUUUGCUUUGAAAAAUAAAGGAGACUGAAAUAGCUUGAUUAGAUUUUAAAAAAUAAAUAAAUAAAUUAGCAGUGAAAAAAUCCAAACAGCAAAAAAUGGAGCUUUUCUGGCAACCUGAAUUUGCAAGAAAUUCUGAUUCUAAUGAGACAGAAAAGUUAGGAGAAGAAAGCACACCAAAAGAAAAAAAAAGACAGAGAGAGAGAGAGAGAGAGAGCCUUAAGAGCAUUCCACUAAGAAAUUUGAUUGUAACACCAGAACUGUCUCCUUCACAGACAAAAAUCUGUCUUCAAAACAUUUGCAGAAGUGUUGCAGAAAUAAAUCAGUUCUCACCGAAACAAGACUUCUGUAGUCAGUACCACAGUACCACCUUGUGGAGAAAUAUAAACAGCCUCGGUAUUGAUUUCUUCCACCAAGCAGUUAGUUUCAGGAAAUAACUAUAAUAUAAGCAUAAAAUUCUAACUAUGAUGAAUGAAACAGACCCAGGCACCAGCAACAUAUGUGAUGCAUGACUUCUCCCAGAGUUAAAUUACUUGUUUUGAAGAAGCCAUGUUCCAGUCAAAAUCUUUCAGAAGUCUAAUGUGAAAACUUCCUGGAAGAAAAAUGACUCCUUUUAUAUUUGCCUGGAUUCCUUUCUUGACUUCCAUGUGCUGCAAAUUUAUUUCUCCAGUUACACUGAAUCAAGAGAACAAUUGUCUCAGGCAUGUCAAAUUCUGCCCCCACAAAACGUUUCAUAAACGUAAAGGCUAUGACAUAAACAAACUAACACCAGACUCCUUGAGAUGACUUCUCUUAUUGCUUUUCUGUAACUGAUGAAGCGAUUAGGGACAGUAAUAUUCCAGAACACAUUUGAAGAAAUAAGGUUAUCAAAUUCUCUUGCCCAAAGGGAACUAUCACCUGCUUUUCUCCAUUUCUUUUACACUGUGAAAGAAAUUUGUAUGAUUAAGUAAUUGCUGGCAGUCAGGAGAAACAGUCACACAGUUGUCAUAUUUUAAGAGCUCUGUUAAAUGAAACUUUCACACUUUUAAAAAUAACUUUUUACACACAUCUCUGCAGCACUCUUUAACUCUUGCUCCUAAUGACAUUUUGGGAUAUUCUGUUUUGUGUACUGCCUGUCAGGCUAAAUUGGAACAAACAGUGCCAAAGUGUGUAUAGUAACCUUCAAUUUUAUGUUGUCCUGAGAAUGAGGGGAAUAUUUGUUUUUAUUUUUGCUGUCAAUAAACAAAAUUUCAACCUUGUUGCA
ensembl:lncRNA